CUCUCCCGGCCCGGACACGGACAGGAUUGACAGAUUGAUAGCUCUUUCUCGAUUCCGUGGGUGGUGGUGCAUGGCCGUUCUUAGUUGGUGGAGCGAUUUGUCUGGUUAAUUCCGAUAACGAACGAGACUCUGGCAUGCUAACUAGUUACGCGACCCCCGAGCGGUCGGCGUCCCCCAACUUCUUAGAGGGACAAGUGGCGUUCAGCCACCCGAGAUUGAGCAAUAACAGGUCUGUGAUGCCCUUAGAUGUCCGGGGCUGCACGCGCGCUACACUGACUGGCUCAGCGUGUGCCUACCCUACGCCGGCAGGCGCGGGUAACCCGUUGAACCCCAUUCGUGAUGGGGAUCGGGGAUUGCAAUUAUUCCCCAUGAACGAGGAAUUCCCAGUAAGUGCGGGUCAUAAGCUUGCGUUGAUUAAGUCC
rnacentral:rRNA from 1 species